AAUAAACAACUACAUAGGAAGUUACAUCAGCCAGUGUAGCCAUAUUGAUGCAGCAUGAUGUGCUAUGUUGUGAAUGUGGAAGGGCAAAAUCACCUGUGCCCUUUAAGAGCAUUGCCAGCCAAAUUAGCCCUCUCCAGUGUGAUCUGAACUGGCAUCACUAUACAAGAACACCGACCUGAGUGCUCACGUUUGAUCUUGGUGAUUGUGUGCCCUAUCAUUCAGUAUUUGUAUGAUUGUGUAAGCACAGGUGUAUGUUAGCAUAUUUGUAGUUCUCCAAACUGUAGAUCAGGGGUUGUAUAUAAAACAAAGCAGGAAGAGUCGGUUGACAUAAGACAAGGAGAGGAACUAUUUUCAUCAACAAAGUGAUUCUAAACCAGUCUUCAAACCCAUCAGGAGAUUCUGUUAAGAGCUAAGAAUCAGGAAGACAGCCAGAAGACUUGGUGCUCUGUGCUGAAGUCAUAGAAGAAUGAAUGGUCAGGCUCUCAGAUGGAUUACUCUCUAGUGCAAUCAUAAUGUCAUCAGUGUUGUGGACCAACAUGAUAUUCUUUGGGAUAUUAGUUCAAGCCCCUGUGGACAGGCCCUGAGGUUAGAAGUCUGAUACAGUUCCCACUAGGCUGAAAUCAAGCUGUUCGCAGUAACACAUUAUAUCAAUAAUCUUGGGGACUUCCGGGAGAUGGCAGAAGACUAACACGCGGAGAUCCCCUUCCUCCCCACAGAUACACCAGAAAUACAUCGACUCCUGGAACAACUCGUACAGAACACCUACUGAACGCUGGCAGAAGACCUCAGA